UGGGGAAUAUUGCACAAUGGGCGCAAGCCUGAUGCAGCCAUGCCGCGUGUGUGAAGAAGGCCUUCGGGUUGUAAAGCACUUUCAGCGAGGAGGAAGGGUAGUGUGUUAAUAGCACAUUGCAUUGACGUUACUCGCAGAAGAAGCACCGGCUAACUACGUGCCAGCAGCCGCGGUAAUACGGAGGGUGCAAGCGUUAAUCGGAAGUACUGGGCGUAAAGCGCACGCAGGCGGUUUGUUAAGUCAGAUGUGAAAUCCCCGCGCUUAACGUGGGAACUGCAUUUGAAACUGGCAAGCUAGAGUCUUGUAGAGGGGGGUAGAAUUCCAGGUGUAGCGGUGAAAUGCGUAGAGAUCUGGAGGAAUACCGGUGGCGAAGGCGGCCCCCUGGACAAAGACUGACGCUCAGGUGCGAAAGCGUGGGGAGCAAACA
rnacentral:rRNA from 1 species